rnacentral:rRNA from 1 species
AUGCUGCAGGAGGAUGGGGGAAUUGAUGAAGAUGUGAACCAUCGAAUCAAAGCCGGAUGGAUGAAGUGGCGCCAAGCUUCUGGCAUUCUCUGUGACAAGAGAGUGCCACAAAAGCUAAAAGGCAAGUUCUACAGGACGGCGGUUCGACCCGCAAUGUUGUAUGGCGCUGAGUGUUGGCCGACUAAAAGGCGACAUGUUCAACAGUUAGGUGUGGCGGAGAUGCGUAUGUUGAGAUGGAUGUGUGGCCACACGAGGAAGGAUCGAGUCCAGAAUGAUGAUAUACGAGAUAGAGUUGGGGUAGCACCAAUUGAAGAGAAGCUUGUCCAACAUCGUCUGAGAUGGUUUGGGCAUAUUUAG